GAUCAUGGCUCAGGAUGAACGCUAGCUACAGGCUUAACACAUGCAAGUCGAGCGGAAUGCCUUCGGGCAUUAGCGGCAGACGGGUGAGUAACACGUAUCCAACUUUCCCUUACUCGGGUAUAGCCUCGGGAAACUGAGAGUAAUCCCCGAUGCAGUGUACGAACAGCAUUAUUUGCACACUAAAGAUUUAUCGGUAAGGGGUGGGGAUGCGUUCCAUUAGGUAGUAGGCGGGGUAACGGCCCACCUAGCCGAUGAUGGAUAGGGGUUCUGAGAGGAAGGUCCCCCACAUUGGAACUGCGACACGGUCCAAACUCCUACGGGAGGCAGCAGUGAGGAAUAUUGGUCAAUGGUCGAAGGACUGAACCAGCCAAGUAGCGUGCAAGGAUGACGGCCCUAUGGGUUGUAAACUGCUUUUGUGCGGGAAUAACGGUCUCCACGUGUGGAGAUGUGCAUGUACCGUACGAAUAAGGAUCGGCUAACUCCGUGCCAGCCGCCGC
rnacentral:rRNA from 1 species